UGCAAAGAAGUUUGAAUAUGACAAGUAACCACGUGUGACAUUUCAAAUACAUAAAACAAAAUUAUUCUGAUUAAUUAACUUAAAUUAUUCUGUUAUUGUCUUGUUAUUCGCUUCUACAUAAUUAAAUCAAUAAAAUUAUUUAAGUACUAACCACAGUAACUACUUACAUAAAACUUUAAGAUUAAACGAAAAAUAAAACGAAUUAAAUUUUCGCAAGAUGAUUAAUUAGCCAAUUAAGCUACAAAAUUAUUGAUCCGUUACCGAUGUAAUAACAUUAUGGUGUUAAAAUUAUAAAAUCAUUCGUUUAACUUAUAAUAUAUAACAUAUAUAUUACAAUUGAUUGUACGACCGCAUUUUUAACCGCACCGUUUUUGAGUAUUUUGACUAAGAUAUACUUUCCCUGCCUUUUUUAUCACAAUAAAUAAACAGAUCGACUAAAUUCUGUAGUACGAGAAUAUUCUCUGAUUUUAUGAUAAUGUCAAUUUAUUAUAAUAAUAUCAUGAGGAAGGUUCCUUUAGUGAAAUAAAAUAAUUAGCUUAAACCCUCACACCUAUCACUACCACUUCAUCAACUACAAAUCUAACUCCAGACGCUGAAUGGAUAACGAUAAAAAUAUUAUAAAACUGAUUGUUUCAUAUUUUAACUAAUCUCGUGCCUGCUUGUGAGAUAAAUUUGUUUUUAUACUCUAGAAUAAUUGCUAAUUGUCUGCAGGGAAUUAUAUUUAAUAUGAGAAAGCAUUAAAAUGAAUGGAUAUCCAGUGGUGGUUGUUAUGGCAGGUUCAGCGGAUCUUGGCGGUCGGGUCGCGGCGGCUCGGCGGCGCGCGGCGUGGCACGACGCUCGGCGCAGUGGGUCAGGCGAAGCAAUACGGGCGGACCUUGCAAUGUCGCGGCGUGACGCUCAGCUGACGGGCCGCCCGACGCGAGCCGCCCCGCCGCGCGCCGCGCGUUCAUUGCCUCCGUGGCAGCGGACGAGAGCGCUCGCUUCCAUGCAAGUCUCAUUCAACCUCAUGUUUACGACUUCGUAUUACUUAUGACGACGAUAUUUAUAUCGAAGAAUUUAUGAGAAGCGAAUUGAAAACGUUUCAUGUGCGAUUAUUGUGUAUUUUUAAAGGACUAUUUGGAAUGUAAAACUGAGAAUGCUGGUAAAGCAGACGGGGCCUAUAGUCAAGAUGCGCAGGUUGGUAACAAUGUUGAGACGCUAUUAUUACCGAUAAACCAACUAACUGAACCUAACCUGAACGCAGGAAAUGUGAGAACAAAAGAAUCGUUUCGAAAACAACAUUGCAUUCACUUCUGAUUUAACAAAGACAUUCCUAUACAAUUCGCUUAUGGAAUUCAGAUGUUCGCUACAGUAAUAUGAAUUGCCAUUUAAAUACAUAAUUGUGUGCACAAAUUAUACUUUCACAGUAUUGAGCCCACCAUGGUCAGAAAUGGACAACGUUGUUGUAUUUGUUUACCUGUAAACUAACGCAAAGAAAUGCCUUAUUUUUUGUAGUUAUAAAUAAUUAAAUCGCCAAUAAUAAUAGAUUGGAUUUCGUAUAGCAACAUGUAAAAUCCAGUUAUUUUUAUAACUAAAAUACUAUUAUCGGGCGUGAAGAUAUCGUAUAUGGGGAGUAUUUAUAACAACCGUUUCUGUACGAGUAGCGAACGACCGAUAAGAUUUAUUUCUACCUAAGAAAACUUGUUUGUAAAAAAACCAAGAGCACGAAUCGACGAACCACUUGACUAAACAAUCCCAUUCUUCUAUUAUUAACUCGUAAACCCAAAUAGAUUAUCUAGAAUAUCCACAUCUAUUCAGUAGCUAAAACGCGUCCUUUCGCACCGGAACUUUAGACUUGUUUUUUACUUAAUGGGAGUCUAUAAAAUUCUGAAUUAAACUCAAGAACGAUUCAACACUGGAUUGUAGCGGAAGUCCCAAAUUAAAUAGUUCACAUAAUAAUAUCCGACGGGCGACAAGAGACGAAUCAGGAUACGUUGAUGAAACGAUUAGUUAAUAAAGUUUUUUUAAUAAAAGGACCACUAUCAAACAA